CGUACACUCCUGCGGGAGGCAGCAGUGGGGAAUUUUGGACAAUGGGCGAAAGCCUGAUCCAGCCAUGCCGCGUGCAGGAUGAAGGCCUUCGGGUUGUAAACUGCUUUUGUACGGAACGAAACGGCCUUUUCUAAUAAAGAGGGCUAAUGACGGUACCGUAAGAAUAAGCACCGGCUAACUACGUGCCAGCAGCCGAGGUAAUAAGUAGGGUGCAAGCGUUAAUCGGAAUUACUGGGCGUAAAGCGUGCGCAGGCGGUUAUUUAAGACAGUUGUGAAAUCCCCGGGCUCAACCUGGGAACUGCAUCUGUGACUGCAUAGCUAGAGUACGGUAGAGGGGGAUGGAAUUCCGCGUGUAGCAGUGAAAUGCGUAGAUAUGCGGAGGAACACCGAUGGCGAAGGCAAUCCCCUGGACCUGUACUGACGCUCAUGCACGAAAGCGUGGGGAGCAAACAGGAUUAGAAACCCUUGUAGUCU
rnacentral:rRNA from 1 species